rnacentral:rRNA from 1 species
UACGUAGGGUGCGAGCGUUAAUCGGAAUUACUGGGCGUAAAGUGUGCGCAGGCGGCAGAGCAAGUCGAGUGUGAAAGCCCCGGGCUUAACUUGGGAAUUGCGCUCGAAACUACUUUGCUGGAGUUGUGGCAGAGGAAGGUGGAAUUCCACGUGUAGCGGUGAAAUGCGUAGAGAUGUGGAGGAACACCAAUGGCGAAGGCAG